ACCCAUCCAUUAAUGGCUCAUGUGUUCUUAAGACAAACCCAGCAGGCUGUAUCUGUCCAGAGUGAAACCAGAGCUUCUGCCUGCAUGGAACAAGAGCAAGAGAAAGGCCGAGGAGACUGACCUGCUUAUCCAUGCUACUUAUCAGGAACUGUGGAACCAUGGAGAACAUGACCCUGGCCCUCCCUUCAGGAUCUGCCUGAGAUCUGGCUGCCUCUUGAGACACUAGAGCCCUGGAUUCAAUUGCGGAACAUUAUGUUGGAGAAUAUAAACACUUCUAGACUGUGCCGGCAUUUGGGAAGGAAUAGUCUGUUUUGACUUGAAUGAACAAAGACAUACGUCUCUGGGCCUGGGGAAGGCUUACCAGCUCAGCUCAUCUACUGUCUGGUGGCAAACAUGUCCUGGGUACUGCCACUACCCAGGACACUCUUCCUCACUCUGUCCCUGUCCAGUUACCGCACCCUUCCCUGUCUGACCCCGCCUCCUGUGCCCACUCGCCUCUGGACCCAGAGAUUCUUCUUGUUUGCUCUAUCAUCCUUGAGCCGGAUACAGGGUGAAUAGUUAACCACACUUGGGUUGAAUGGGAUCUUGAUUCUUAUUUCUGUUCCUUGGAAAGAGGGGUCAGACUCGGUGCGUGGCACCCGGCCUGGAAGCAGCACAAGACUCCAGAGUGAUACAUGAUCUGCCUGGAUGGUCCCAGGGGCUCUUUGGAGGUCAGAGCAAGAGGAGCAGCCUGAGCAGGGGGGCUGAGGAGGGCCGGCACUGGAUCACACGCAGGCGUAUGUCUGGAUAGGCAGAGAGGAACCCACUUUUCAUUCCCUCUUCUGUGACACAAAUGCAAGGAACUUUGAAGACUCUCUUCGGAGGUUGCAGUCGGAGAUCAGCUUAUCCAAGGGCUUCAUGUCUGAGCUCUGUUGGUCGUGCCUCCUGAGGACCUCUUUCCUCUACUGUAUGCUGAUGACACACCCAUCCGAUGGGAGCUGGAGUCUUGUCUGGUCCUUUCCUCUAUGACCCCACGUGUACAGUUGGAAAUCCUUCCUAAUCAUGCCUUGAUUCCCCCUUUUCGACUACACUCAGAGAUGUUUGAGCUGUUUUAUUUGCAAAAUGGAUGGACAGUUUGUUUAUAUAAAACAAUCCCAGCUUCCUUGUGCUCUAUCUGGUGUGUUUGUAUGGCUCUUCAGUGACUUUAAAGUGGAGCAUUGACCUUGGCCUCUUUGAUUCUCCAUGGUGGAAUAGAGAAGACCUCUUGAGGAUGCUUAAUGUUGCUGAGAUCUUAAGAAGGCUUGCAGACUUCCUCUUCCUCCCUCCUUCUCCCACCUCCUCCUUCCCUAAGCAGCCUCUGCAUUGUAUAAAUUCCUUUAUAUAAAUUCCUCUG
ensembl:lincRNA 2610035D17Rik RIKEN cDNA 2610035D17 gene